rnacentral:rRNA from 1 species
GAGUUUGAUCCUGGCUCAGGACGAACGCUGGCGGCACGCCUAACACAUGCAAGUCGAACGGAGAUAUUUUGGUUUACUGAGAUAUCUUAGUGGCGGACGGGUGAGUAACACGUGAGCAACCUGCCUCUGAGAGAGGGAUAGCUUCUGGAAACGGAUGGUAAUACCUCAUAACAUAACGAAGCCGCAUGACUUUGUUAUCAAAGAUUUAUCACUCAGAGAUGGGCUCGCGUCUGAUUAGAUAGUUGGUGAGGUAACGGCUCACCAAGUCGACGAUCAGUAGCCGGACUGAGAGGUUGAACGGCCACAUUGGGACUGAGACACGGCCCAGACUCCUACGGGAGGCAGCAGUGGGGAAUAUUGCACAAUGGGGGAAACCCUGAUGCAGCGAUGCCGCGUGGAGGAAGAAGGUUUUCGGAUUGUAAACUCCUGUCUUAAAGGACGAUAAUGACGGUACUUUAGGAGGAAGCUCCGGCUAACUACGUGCCAGCAGCCGCGGUAAUACGUAGGGAGCGAGCGUUGUCCGGAAUUACUGGGUGUAAAGGGAGCGUAGGCGGGAUGGCAAGUCAGAUGUGAAAACUAUGGGCUCAACCCAUAGACUGCAUUUGAAACUGUUGCUCUUGAGUGAAGUAGAGGUAAGCGGAAUUCCUGGUGUAGCGGUGAAAUGCGUAGAUAUCAGAGGAACAUCGGUGGCGAAGGCGGCUUACUGGGCUUUUACUGACGCUGAGGCUCGAAAGCGUGGGGAGCAAACAGGAUUAGAUACCCAGGUAGUCCACGCUGUAAACGAUGAUUACUAGUGUGGGGGGACUGACCCCUUCCGUGCCGCAGUUGACACAUAAGUAWYCCACCUGGGGAGUMCGYCGCAAGUUGAAAYUCAAGGAUUGACGGGCCCGCACAGCAGUGAAGUAUGUGUUUAUUCGAGCACSSGAGACCUASCAGGUCUGACMUCKAWUGCAUMCWWRA